CGUAGGGUGCGAGCGUUAAUCGGAAUUACUGGGCGUAAAGCGUGCGCAGGCGGUAAUGUAAGACAGAUGUGAAAUCCCCGGGCUUAACCUGGGACCUGCAUUUGUGACUGCAUUGCUGGAGUGCGGCAGAGGGGGAUGGAAUUCCGCGUGUAGCAGUGAAAUGCGUAGAUAUGCGGAGGAACACCGAUGGCGAAGGCAAUCCCCUGGGCCUGCACUGACGCUCAUGCACGAAAGCGUGGGGAGCAAACAGGAUUAGAUACCCUGGUAGUCCACGCCCUAAACGAUGUCAACUGGUUGUUGGGUCUUCACUGACUCAGUAACGAAGCUAACGCGUGAAGUUGACCGCCUGGGGAGUACGGCCGCAAGGUUG
rnacentral:rRNA from 1 species